GGCAGAGGAAGUUCGAUUAAGGGCAAUACGUCACGUAGCAACAUCGAACCAACCCACGUCAUGUGGA
rfam:Pontibacillus yanchengensis Y32 contig37, whole genome shotgun sequence.